rnacentral:rRNA from 1 species
AUUGAACGCUGGCGGCAGGCCUAACACAUGCAAGUCGAGCGGUAGAGAGGUGCUUGCAUCUUUUGAGAGCGGCGGACGGGUGAGUAAUGCCUAGGAAUCUGCCUAGUGUGGGGGAUAACGUUCGGAAACGGACGCUAAUACCGCAUACGUCCUACGGGAGAAAGCGGGGGAUCUUCGGACCUCGCGCCAUUAGAUGAGCCUAGGUCGGAUUAGCUAGUUGGUGAGGUAAUGGCUCACCAAGGCGACGAUCCGUAACUGGUCUGAGAGGAUGAUCAGCCACACUGGGACUGAGACACGGCCCAGACUCCUACGGGAGGCAGCAGUGGGGAAUAUUGGACAAUGGCGAAAGCCUGAUCCAGCAAUGCCGCGUGAGUGAUGAAGG